rnacentral:tRNA from 1 species
UCAGUUUUGACAACAUUCAAAAAAGAGUAA